UACGAAGGGUGCAAGCGUUACUCGGAAUUACUGGGCGUAAAGCGUGCGUAGGUGGUUUGUUAAGUCUGUUGUGAAAGCCCCGGGCUCAACCUGGGAAUGGCAAUGGAUACUGGCAAGCUAGAGUGCGGUAGAGGGUAGUGGAAUUCCCGGUGUAGCGGUGAAAUGCGUAGAGAUCGGGAGGAACACCAGUGGCGAAGGCGGCUACCUGGACCAGCACUGACACUGAGGCACGAAAGCCAGGGGAGCAAACGGG
rnacentral:rRNA from 1 species